UGUAAUCGUAUACCAAAGUUGUUGCAGUUAAAACGCUCGUAGUCGGAAUUUGGUAGUUCCGGAUGUGUGCACGUCGUGUGCGCACUUCGCGGGGAUUGCUUUUGUGGUCUUGCGUAGGAUGAGGCACUUUUAUUAGUGAACGUCCUCACGCAACCACUUUUUACUGUGAGAAAAUCAGAGUGCUCAAAGCAGGCAUUUGCCGUGAAUGUAUUAGCAUGGAAUAAUGGAAUAGGACUUGGUUCUAUUUUGUUGGUUUGUUGGGACUGAGUAAUGAUUAAGAGGGACAGUUGGGGGCAUUUGUAUUUCGGUGCUAGAGGUGAAAUUCUUAGAUUACCGAAAGACAAACUGCUACGAAAGCGUCUGCCAAGGAUGUUUUCAUUGA
rnacentral:rRNA from 1 species